AUUGAACGCUGGCGGCAGGCUUAACACAUGCAAGUCGAGCGGAGAUGAGGUGCUUGCACCUUAUCUCAGCGGCGGACGGGUGAGUAAUGCUUAGGAAUCUGCCUAUUAGUGGGGGACAACAUUCCGAAAGGAAUGCUAAUACCGCAUACGUCCUACGGGAGAAAGCAGGGGAUCUUCGGACCUUGCGCUAAUAGAUGAGCCUAAGUCGGAUUAGCUAGUUGGUGGGGUAAAGGCCUACCAAGGCGACGAUCUGUAGCGGGUCUGAGAGGAUGAUCCGCCACACUGGGACUGAGACACGGUCCAGACUCCUACGGGAGGCAGCAGUGGGGAAUAUUGGACAAUGGGGGGAACCCUGAUCCAGCCAUGCCGCGUGUGUGAAGAAGGCCUUAUGGUUGUAAAGCACUUUAAGCGAGGAGGAGGCUACUGAGACUAAUACUCUUGGAUAGUGGACGUUACUCGCAGAAUAAGCACCGGCUAACUCUGUGCCAGCCGCCGCAGUAA
rnacentral:rRNA from 1 species